rnacentral:rRNA from 1 species
AUUGAACGCUGGCGGCAUGCCUUACACAUGCAAGUCGAACGGUAACAGGUCUUCGGAUGCUGACGAGUGGCGAACGGGUGAGUAAUGCAUCGGAACGUGCCCAGUAGUGGGGGAUAGCCCGGCGAAAGCCGGAUUAAUACCGCAUACGAGCUUAGGGUGAAAGGGGGGGAUCGCAAGACCUCGCGCUAUUGGAGCGGCAGAUGGCAGAUUAGCUAGUUGGUGGGGUAAAGGCCUACCAAGGCAACGAUCUGUAGUUGGUCUGAGAGGACGACCAGCCACACUGGGACUGAGACACGGCACAGACUCCUACGGGAGGCAGCAGUGGGGAAUUUUGGAGAAUGGGCGCAAGCCUGAUCCAGCAAUGCCGCGUGCAGGAAGAAGGCCUUCGGGUUGUAAACUGCUUUUGUCAGGGAAGAAAUCUUCUGGGUUAAUACCUCGGGAGGAUGACGGUACCUGAAGAAUAAGCACCGGCUAACUACGUGCCAGCCGCCGCCGUAACAC